rnacentral:lncRNA from 1 species
UGCCGCACACUGUUGAUUCUCCGCCAAGUCGGCUCUGGUGGAUAGAACGAACGACGAAACGAGACCUGCCGAGAUGCGUGACGUGACAACGGCAUCCUACAAUUUUGGAUCGCCAAGUUCGAAUUACCCUUUUCAUCAUAAUCGAUAGUGGCUGCCUUAAUUAAUUCUAGGGUUCUGGCGAAGCCUCGGUCAUAGCCGCCUCCGUCGUCGGAACUAAUAGUUUCCUUCAUGAGGUUUUUUUUUUUACUGUUUAUCGUUUUUAUUUUGACUUGAGAUGUUGAAGAAGAGAAGGAGUGCAAUGAAUGAUCCCUUGAAAGCGUGUCUCUAAAUCCUCUAUCACACAAAACAUGUUUAGUUCAUGUGGGAUUGGAAUUGCAUUCUUUCAUAUGAUCCUUGAUCUUCGCUCGCAAUUGUAAAUACGCUUACCGCCCGGUUAAAUGAUGGAAUUCCCUAAAUUGAUGAGAAAUGGGUGCUUCUCGGUUUCUGUAUAUACGCAGCUACACUGUAUCUGCAUUUUGCCACAUCAGUCAUUAUUCAUGAAAUAACAACAUCUCUUGGAAUCUACUGUUUUAGAUUCGGCUGAUCGGAAUCAAGGGUUUCAAAUAAAGUGGUGGAACUUGCAUUAGUUAAUAGACCACAGAGUCAAAGUGGGAUUCAAGGAAACUUUGGGGGUGGCUUUUUGAGUCUUCGACUUGGAGGUAGUGAAGAACCGGUAUCUACUUCACCUUGCGUCAUGGAUUUAUAGCGGGAAUGGACGAUUUACACCCUAAUAUAGGUUUGCAAGUACAAAAGCUCAAUAGGCAGAAUCAACAUCAGUUCUAUUUGCCUUGAAACAUGCCCAGGCCCAAGGUAAUAUUGUAACUUCACCAAAUUAUGGGCUUGUUGGAUUAUCUAGAGGCAGUCUAAGUAUGAAAGAUGGUCAAACCACAAGAAAUGAUGGAUCCCCUGGUCAAAUGAAUUCACCCCAGGUUAAGAUUUUCUUUUUAUGAUCUAAUUCUUGGUUCUCUGUGUUAUUAUAACAUCUCUCUUUUAUCUACACAAUCCCCAACAAGACCACUUUAAUCUGUACUUCUGUUCAAAUAUCUGGCUAUUGAGAAUAAGAGGGGUUCGUUUAUGUAGUACAAUAAUUAGGGCUUAAAAUAAGAUAUCAGUUACAACGGUUGAAUUAGCUGUGUGUGUAACUUAUUGCCAUCCGGGGUUAAGCCAACUUCACUUGGUUGUGUACGCUUGACUGCAAGCCUUGAUAUAGAGGCUGCAAAUUCGGUGGGUUUUGAUAACGGAUCAAAAAAGAAAGUUUUAGGAUGGAAAACAAAUUGUGUGGGUUCCAUGAGCUUCAUUUUGGUUUCCUCUAAAGAAGGCCUUUGUGCUGCAAAAGCAAAACUUCAUAGCUGUAGAGCAAAUAAGUGGUCAAUUGGACUAAAUUAACUUUAAAAGUAAAUUGAUAAAUAACUAGAGACAUGAACAAUUGUUAAGAGUCGAAUAAAGUAAUAAACUACUGGGAAUAUAAAAAGUCAAAGUUUUAAAGUAGGACAGGAACCAGUUCAUGUUUGUCAACUGUCCUGUUGUCUUCUUGUGACUUUUGAAACUUAGAUGUGGAUAUUUCUAUAACUUGAUCAACUAUAUAGACAGUUGCCCAAGAGUUUCAAUUGAAUAUCCAUAUGGAGCACCACCACAAGCUUACCAAAAAAAAGAAAUACGAUGUGCAGUAAUAGGUGUUUUUUUUUUUUUUUUUUUUUUUGAAACAAUGAUGUAGUAUCAUAGUGUGGAUUGCACCAUUUGAUCCAACUAAGAAGGAUGAGGAGGUUAUUCAAGAUGUCAACUGUAAGUACUUUUUAAAAUUCUUUUUUUACUAAGAUAAUGCGAUUAGUGAUCCGAUCCUCUUUGUAUUAACUAUGAACUUAAUAACAAGCAUUAAAUAGUGUGAUUAUAUAAACCAUUAAAAGUACUUUAACGAACCACUAGCCCGUAACUUAGAAAUUACACUACAUCAGUUUAUGAGCAGCAUCUGGUUAUGAGCCCGUAAAAUAUCACGGUCAAUGGCCCUUCAAACGAGUAUUUGGAAUUCAGGUCUGUUAUCAUCAAUCUUAUACCUCAUAAUCUCAAUGCUUUUUUUGAUCUUCAAUCUUAAGCAACGUAUUGUAAUUUUUCCAGGAGCCUGCUUUUGUCGCGUUUUCUGCACUUAAAAAAAUUUGUUGACAUGACACAUAAAUGCCAAAUGGAUUAGAAAAAAAAAUGAGAAAUAGGUUUAAAAAUUUUUUAAAAAAUUGUAGAAAUGUUAACAA